rnacentral:tRNA from 1 species
GACUCAUUGGUUCAACGGUAAAGCGCUUGUCAUGGAGCCAGAGGGUCUUGGGUUUGAUCCCCGAUUGGGUCG